rnacentral:rRNA from 1 species
UACAUGGGGUGCAAACGUUGCUCGGAAUCAUUGGGCGUAAAGCGCGCGUAGGCGGUUAUCUAAGUCGGAUGUGAAAGCCCUCGGCUUAACUGAGGAAGUGCAUCCGAAACUGAAUAGCUAGAGUACGAAAGAGGGUCGCGGAAUUCCCGGUGUAGAGGUGAAAUUCGUAGAUAUCGGGAGGAACACCGGUGGCGAAGGCGGCGACCUGGGUCGAGACUGACGCUGAGGCGCGAAGGCCAGGGGAGCAAACGGG